UACAGAGGUCUCGAGCGUUAAUCGGAAUUACUGGGCUUAAAGGGUGCGUAGGCGGGCCCGCAGGCGUCUUGUGAAAGCCCCCGGCUCAACCGGGGAACAGCAGGGCGAACCGCGGGUCUCGAGGCAGGCAUGGGCGGUCGGAACGGUAGGUGGAGCGGUGAAAUGCGUAGAUAUCUACCGGAACGCCGAUGGUGAAGACGGGCCGCUGGGCCUGACCUGACGCUGAGGCACGAAAGCGUGGGGAUCAAAC
rnacentral:rRNA from 1 species